GAACCGACUGUGGUUAAGGAAGGACGCGUGCUGCUAAUAGUGAGGGAAUUUUACGGUGUGAGAUUGCCAUCUCAUGAAUAGCCCACAAAAAUCUCUGCCAGUACUGCAUCUCUGAAGUUAUCAGGCCUGACAUUCUCUGAGGCAAUGAGGGAAUCCUGUUUCAUCUGGAAGAGAGUACAAGUGUCAUCAGCCUGAGAAGAAGAGUACAGCAGCAAUAGUAGCAUCAGGACCUAGCUGGUACAAGUAGUUGCAUGAGGAUGUUAACAGAAACAGCAGGAAAAAUGCAGGAAAUUCCCUUUAAGUUCUGCUGGUGGGACUGACAAACAACCUUCAGGACUUGCACAGGCAUAACAAUUUGCUUCCCUCCUUCUCCUCCAUUCUGGGAAGAAAAAAUGUAAGAAGUUCUUUCAGCAUAGAUCAAGAAACACCACUACCUUCAGGCCUGGCCAGCACAAGUUCUGUACACACUUCUAUUAUGAAUGGUGCUAUCAAAAUAAAUAAAUUACAUGUU